rnacentral:lncRNA from 1 species
CUCUGUCACAGAAAGCAUUGAGAAAAUGUUCCAGCAAACCCUGCGUCAUGCAAAAGAGGGGAAGUUACUGGACUUCAGGCAAUCAGGGAAGAGAAGGUGUAGGCUGACGGCUGAGACGGACCCCAGCCAGGAGCGGAAGAAGGGGUUAGAGACGACCCACAAGUUCCUGGCUCAUUGCUGUGGCUGA